rnacentral:rRNA from 1 species
UGCAGUAGACGCUGAGGAGGAGCUUGCUUCUCUGGAUGAGUUGCGAACGGGUGAGUAACGCGUAGGUAACCUGCCUGGUAGCGGGGGAUAACUAUUGGAAACGAUAGCUAAUACCGCAUAAUAGCAGUUGUUGCAUGACAGCUGUUUGAAAGGUGCAAUUGCAYCACUACCAGAUGGACCUGCGUUGUAUUAGCUAGUUGGUGGGGUAACGGCUCACCAAGGCGACGAUACAUAGCCGACCUGAGAGGGUGAUCGGCCACACUGGGACUGAGACACGGCCCAGACUCCUACGGGAGGCAGCAGUAGGGAAUCUUCGGCAAUGGACGGAAGUCUGACCGAGCAACGCCGCGUGAGUGAAGAAGGUUUUCGGAUCGUAAAGCUCUGUUGUAAGAGAAGAACGAGUGUGAGAGUGGAAAGUUCACACUGUGACGGUAUCUUACCAGAAAGGGACGGCUAACUACGUGCCAGCAGCCGCGGUAAUACGUAGGUCCCGAGCGUUGUCCGGAUUUAUUGGGCGUAAAGCGAGCGCAGGCGGUUAGAUAAGUCUGAAGUUAAAGGCUGUGGCUUAACCAUAGUACGCUUUGGAAACUGUUUAACUUGAGUGCAAGAGGGGAGAGUGGAAUUCCAUGUGUAGCGGUGAAAUGCGUAGAUAUAUGGAGGAACACC